UGGCGAUAGGAAGCGGACAGACAGAUAGGAACUGUCUGCUCUUGUGGGAGAUGGCUGCAGAGCGCCGUGACCGGUGCCAGCCCGGAAGCCGAACCGCCCUACCGAGCCCUGAGGGCGACCACAGAAACCCGUCCAGACACACUGAACACAGCAAAGCAGGCGCCUUCCCACACACACCUCCCCGGGUCCUCUGCGACCUUUGGUCUCUUGAGUUUUCAAAACUCUGGAAACCUCUACAGCAGUUAGAAAUCAGGAAUGUUUCUGUAAAAGCAGAGCACUCUACUCGUGCGGUAGCGCCUGUCAUCCGGCCAAGGAGGAAGCAAGAGGAGCAGCUGCACCAGUAGAAUUAAACGUGUAGAAUUAAGCGUGUCCCCCUAGUGCUCUGCACAGGAAGAAAGUCCUCCACCUGACCGCAGGCAGCAGGCCGGCCUCCUACAGGAAAAGCAAAGCCCACUGGUGAUGCCCAAUGUCUCUGCAGCACCAUAGGAGGAGGCCCGAGGCUGCCGUGUCACCUGAGAGAGAGUGUGGGGUCAGCCAGGCCUACAUCUGAGACCAUGUCUAGAGACAAGGGAGGAGCUCCCUCCAAGCCUUGGACUCCAGCUGGUGACACUACUUUAGAAACCUUAAGAGGGAAGCCUAAUCAAAGGAGAAGAAAAACUUUGGACACCAUCAAAGUUGAUCAAGAUUCAAGUUGAAAAAGCAAA
rnacentral:lncRNA from 1 species